rnacentral:rRNA from 1 species
GUGGCUACGAGGACGAACGCUGGCGGUGUGCUUCACACAUGCAAGUCGAACGAGGUAGCAAUACCUAGUGGCGGACGGGUGAGUAACGCGUGGGAAUCUGCCUUUAGAUGGGGGAUAACGGGUCGAAAGACUCGCUAAUACCGCAUAUGACGAAAGUUGAAAGGAGUAAUCCGUCUAAAGAUGAGCCCGCGUCCGAUUAGCUAGUUGGUAGAGUAAAAGCCUACCAAGGCGACGAUCGGUAGCUGGUCUGAGAGGAUGAUCAGCCACAAUGGGACUGAGACACGGCCCAUACUCCUACGGGAGGCAGCAGUGGGGAAUUUUACGCAAUGGGCGAAAGCCUGACGUAGCGACACCGCGUGAGCGAAGAAGCCCCUUGGGGUGUAAAGCUCUGUCAGCUGGAACGAAAAAAAUGACGGUACCAGCAGAGGAAGCAUCGGCUAACUACGUG